ACGGAGGAUCCGAGCGUUAUCCGGAUUUAUUGGGUUUAAAGGGUGCGUAGGCGGCCUUUUAAGUCAGCGGUGAAAGUCUGUGGCUCAACCAUAGAAUUGCCGUUGAAACUGGGGGGCUUGAGUAUGUUUGAGGCAGGCGGAAUGCGUGGUGUAGCGGUGAAAUGCUUAGAUAUCACGCAGAACCCCGAUUGCGAAGGCAGCCUGCCAAGCCAUGACUGACGCUGAUGCACGAAAGCGUGGGGAUCAAACAG
rnacentral:rRNA from 1 species